rnacentral:rRNA from 1 species
AUUGAACGCUGGCGGCAUGCUUUACACAUGCAAGUCGAACGGUAACAGGGAGCUUGCUCCGCUGACGAGUGGCGAACGGGUGAGUAAUGCGUCGGAACGUGCCGAGUAGUGGGGGAUAACGCAUCGAAAGGUGUGCUAAUACCGCAUACGAACUGAGGUUGAAAGUGGGGGACCUUCGGGCCUUACGCUAUUCGAGCGGCCGACGUCUGAUUAGCUAGUUGGUGAGGUAAAGGCUCACCAAGGCGACGAUCAGUAGCGGGUCUGAGAGGAUGAUCCGCCACACUAGGACUGAGACACGGCCCAGACUCCUACGGGAGGCAGCAGUGGGGAAUUUUGGACAAUGGGCGCAAGCCUGAUCCAGCCAUGCCGCGUGUCUGAAGAAGGCCUUCGGGUUGUAAAGGACUUUUGUCCGGGAGCAAAUGCUGGUGGCUAACAUCCACCGGAGCUGAGAGUACCGGAAGAAUAAGCACCGGCUAACUACGUGCCAGCAGCCGCCGUAACAC